UUCAUGAUAUUUUCUUUGUAGUCUUUGAUGAUUUGACAGAUGCACUCAGACAGAAUUCCAGUGUUUAAAUAUUGUUGGGUGGCUAAAAAGUGAAUAUACAAAGAAAAGUGAUUCAGUUUCGAAUCUGUGACAUACCCAAGCACUGGGGAUAUGUCUCUCAAAGAGGAACUGCUGGAGACCCAGAGCAGAAAAACUGUUUGAACUUAAACCAAGAAAUUUGGCACAAGAAACCAAAUCUACCCAUGAAGAUGGGUAAAUGGGUAAAAUCAGGCUAUGAAAUGUUCAAGGUAAAUUUGUUGAGAUGAUCCAAGGCAUAAAAGAAUCAACUGUUCCCUUCUUUGGUCUGUUUAGUCACUUUUGUUAAAAGAAAUGUAUGAGGUUCAUAGCUAUAAAUUUUUAUUUUUUCUAGGACAAAACAAAACAGGAAAAACAGAAUUUCAAUUUGAAAAAUAAUCUAUAUUUUUGAAGUAUAGUUUAGGUAACUCAUCAAUAGGUCUUUUAGCAAAUGAUUGGCCUACUUAGGUUUCGGUAAAAAAUUCUUGAAAAGUUGGUCUGAAUAAACUAUUUAAACAGAAUAAUGACUCAAAUUUAUUUACAGAUUUGCAUAUCAGAGAAUUUUCUACUCACAUGAAAAAAAAUUACAGCUGAUUUUUAAAAUAUGGUAUUUUCUUUUUAAACCUUUUUAAACUACCGUAGCCUGAGCGAUGCACUGUGACUAUGAUGACGACUUAUCCAGGAACUGAAAAUCGCUAUGCAAGUCACACUAUUCUACUCAAGCACAUUGCAAAGUCAUCCUCAUUUUAAAGCCUGAUACUAAUGAAGGAGAGUCAUUCACUGGAUAGGUACCAAGUUGACAUGGGCAUAGUAAUGCCAGGAAAUUCAUGCUGCUCUCUUGGGGAUGCUCUCCUGUGGGUCCAAACAAACAGUUCCUGAAAAAAAAUAUAGUUGUGACACAAGGUGGCAAGAAUGCAUCACUGCUUUGUCUCAGAGCUCAAAUAGAAGUUGGUUAAAGCACCCACUCACACAAUAUAGCUAGGGACAAGUGCACAAAACCACACUGCUAUGCUACAGUGCUUAUUUGUACUGUACUUAGCACAGUGGGAUCCUCUCUAAUAAGUCUUGGACACUGAUGGCUAAUUAGGAGUCAAUGACAGAUACUCUACUGAGCAUGCUCCUUAUUGACUUUGCUAGCCGUGUUUCCUUCUGUCAACUUGACACACCCUAGAGUCAUCUGGAAAGAGAAACCUCAGUUGAGAAAAUAGUUUCAUCCCAUUAUCUGUGGGAGAGUCUGCAGGGCAUUUUCUUGGUUAGUAAUUGAUGUGACAGAGCCUAGAGUAGUGUGGGUGGGGCCACCCCGGGCAGGUGGUCCUGGUUUGUCUAAGAAAGCAGCUGAGAAAGUCAUGUGGAACAAGGCAGUGUUCCCUCAUGGCCUCUGUCUCAAUUUCCGUUGCAGGUUCCUGCCCUGAUGUCCUUUGAUGAUUAGCUGUAAGGCAAGCAAACCCUGCACCCCCCCAAGUUGUUUUUCUCUUGUUGUGUUUUAUCACAGCACCAGGGACUGUAGCUUAGACAGAAAUUUGGUAGCAGGAUGGUGGCGUACUGCCGUGACCAUGUUGUUUCGGGGAGGGCUGUGGUGGCAUUUAAACUUUGGGUGAGAAAAAGGUGUUGGGUGAUUAAAGUUUUAAUGAGCUGUGGAGGAAGUUUGGAACAUGGGUAUUACACUCCUGUGUUUCCUCCUUCAGCUCUCAGAGAAUGCCUUUGGCUACGUGACAAGGGAUAUUCAGGCCCAAUAUUUUGAUUCGUUGAGUGUGUAUAUGUGUGUUUAUGUUUGCUGGAUUUGUCAAAAGCAUGAGGCUUUCGCAUUGGCAGAUGGAUUUCCUUCCCUGACAGCCAUCUGAAACACAACAGCUUUUCUUUGUCCAUCUGAAAGCCUGUGUCUUUCUCUGGACCACUUAAUAGGUUUGCUUCCUGUCUGAAGAAUACACUCUACACUUAACUUAUGUGUUGGACAGAAAUGACGGGCAUGUGCUAAAUCAAAUGCAUAACCAAACUUAACAUGAUUUGAACUUCUUCGGGGUCCAUGGCCAUGGUCUGGCUCUUUAAGAUUUGUUUAAUGACACUCAUCAUGCGGCGCCUUCUGUAUUACCAAAGUAUGUCAUAACUUCUACAAAAAUGUUUUUAUUGUAUUUAUAAUAUAACCAAAGGCACUCUCUAGUGUAUGUGGCCUGGUAAGCUUUUGAAUGUCACAGAUCCAAAAUUUAAAAUCUACAGUUCCAACAUAAACAUUCACAGGAAUAUUCAAGGAAUUAUCUAAAUCGAUCACACAUGGAGAGUAGCAGAUUCUUGCUAUUAUACAAUUUCAAGGCUCAGAACUUAAUUCCUUAAACCUUGGCAUCUUUGGCAUGCUAAGAACUUUGAACCAAAUAUUGGAAAAGCCUGAGAGCAGUGUUUCUGCCUUCCUGCCCACCAAUCUCCUCCCACUGUUUUUCUCUUACAAACGAAGAGAAAUCAAAAUUCUUGUUUUCCAGGGCAGGUCACAGAGACCUGAGUACUUCCAUCAGAAGGGUCGCGAUCUUUCUUCUUCCUAGGAGAUCCUCAUUUCAGAAUGGUCCCAUUCUAAAGCAAUCUACCCUGCGAGGUCAAGAAGAAUUGGAGGAGGGAUACAGAGUGACCUUGGGUUCCUGGACCACGGAGGAGUGAUCACCUUGGAGGAAUCAGAUUGAUCCCUUAAGUGAUGACAGAAAUUUUAUUUCUUUGACUACCUUGCAGAACAAGAAUUGAAACAAUGAUCAAAGAGACCACAUCUUGACCAGGUCCAGUUAAUUAUGCACGUUUUGUCCCCUGCCCUAAUUCUUCCUCUACUUAGACUUAAAGUAUAUGACAAUGCUUUGAAGAUGGACUUGGAUCUACCACAUCUCUUUAUGUAUUCUUCUUCCCAAUGUGGCCACACUAAAUAAAUCUCUCCCUGCAUUUCACUGCCAAUUGUCCCUUUAGCUGGUUUAUUGAGGAUGGGUCACUGUCCUUCAUCUGUUGGGGUUGAUGGAGCUCAGGUUUUUGUUGUAAAAACUCUAGUAAGAACUUCAAACCAUGCCUUGUCCUAUUUUCUCUUAAAGCCUAGGACAAGGUUCUCUUUGAAGUUUCCUCAUCCGUCUGAAGGCUAGAGACUUCUGAAAAGUAAUUCAUGGGGGGGG